rnacentral:misc_RNA from 1 species
GCCGGGAUUUUCUCACCGUUAACAUCAAUAAUGCCGCUGGUGGUCGCCUGAACUGACGCCAGCCCCAGGCAGUCCAUGCUGAUCCCUUCGAACGCCGCAUUUUGCCAGGCAUCCUGAAUCAGUUGUUGCAGUAAUGAAACCAUAUUAGCGUGCUGAUCGAUGGUCACAUGGUCCGCUUUAGUGGCAGCAAACAAUAGCUUAUCGAUAACCGGCGAAAACAAACGCCGGAACAGGGUACGCUGCCCGUAGUGAAAACUUUGCAUCAGCUGCGUCAGUGCCAGAC